rnacentral:rRNA from 1 species
GACGAAGGAUGCAAGCGUUAUCCGGAUUCAUUGGGUUUAAAGGGAGCGUAGGCGGGUAUGUAAGUCAGUGGUGAAAUCUCAUAGCUUAACUAUGAAACUGCCAUUGAUACUGCGUACCUAGAGUACAGUUGCCGUUGGCGGAAUAUGACAUGUAGUGGUGAAAUACUUAGAUAUGUCAUAGAACACCGAUUGCGAAGGCAGCUAACGAAGCUGUAACUGACGCUGAGGCUCGAAAGUGCGGGGAUCAAACAGG